GAUGAACGCUGGCGGCGUGCCUAAUACAUGCAAGUCGAGCGAACAGACGAGGAGCUUGCUCCUCUGACGUUAGCGGCGGACGGGUGAGUAACACGUGGAUAACCUACCUAUAAGACUGUGAUAACUUCGGGAAACCGGAGCUAAUACCGGAUAAUAUAUUGAACCGCAUGGUUCAAUAGUGAAAGACGGUUUUGCUGUCACUUAUAGAUGGAUCCGCGCCGCAUUAGCUAGUUGGUAAGGUAACGGCUUACCAAGGCAACGAUGCGCAGCCGAACUGAGAGGGUGAUAGGCCACACUGGAACUGAGACACGGUCAAGACUCCUAAGGGAGGCAGCAGUAGGGAAUCUUACGCAAUGGGCGAAAGCAUGACGGAGCAACGCCGCGUGAGUGAUGAAGGUCUUCGGAUCGUAAAACUCUGUUAUUAGGGAAGAACAAAUGUGUAAGUAACUAUGCACGUCUUGACGGUACCGAAUCAGAAAGCCACGGCUAACUACGUG
rnacentral:rRNA from 1 species